rnacentral:rRNA from 1 species
GAACGAGACCUUCGGGUCUAGUGGCGCACGGGUGCGUAACGCGUGGGAAUCUGCCCUUGGGUUCGGAAUAACAGCGAGAAAUUGCUGCUAAUACCGGAUGAUGACGUAAGUCCAAAGAUUUAUCGCCCAAGGAUGAGCCCGCGUAGGAUUAGCUGGUUGGUGAGGUAAAGGCUCACCAAGGCGACGAUCCUUAGCUGGUCUGAGAGGAUGAUCAGCCACACUGGGACUGAGACACGGCCCAGACUCCUACGGGAGGCAGCAGUGGGGAAUAUUGGACAAUGGGCGAAAGCCUGAUCCAGCAAUGCCGCGUGAGUGAUGAAGGCCUUAGGGUUGUAAAGCUCUUUUACCCGGGAUGAUAAUGACAGUACCGGGAGAAUAAGCUCCGGCUAACUCCGUG